AGGGAAGAAGAAGGUAUCCCUGAUUUGGAAGACGAGGAUUUUGAGCACGAGGUUGUUAAGGAAGUUCAUGGACAUCAGAAGUUUGUCGAAGGCGAAAGUGAAGUCCACGGAGGGAACCAUUCAAAGGCAGUGGCAGAGGAGGAGAGAGAGAAGCAAAGUGAUUCGGAGUCGCUAUACCAUGGGAGGCCAAGUGCGUCAAUGGAAAAUGAGCAGGUGGAGUUUGAGGUACACGUUGUGGAUAAGAAAGUGGUAGAUGAGGAAGGGAAGUCAGGGCAUGGGGGAAAUGUUGCUGGGUUCAAAGCUCGUGCAUUCAAGGACGACUCUGAUGUUGUGAAAGAGAUUCAGGUUCAGUUUGAGCAAGCUUCUGAAUCUGGAAAUGAGCUUGCUAAGAUGCUGGAGGUUGGAAAGCUUCCCCACAAUCGUAAGAACGCCACAUAUCAAGUGUCUUCCAAGAUGUUGCAUGCAAUUUCACCUUCAUUGUCCGUAGUGUCGUCACAACCUUCUACGUCAAACAAUGCUGCAAUUCAGAUUAAUGAUCCUGCUGCUUUAGAUGUGGAAGGAGAUGUAAGUUCAAGGUACAAGAACCUUUCUUCAACGUUAAACAAGCUGUACCUCUGGGAGAAGAAACUGUAUCAGGAGGUUAAGUCUGAGGAGAAGAUAAGGGUGCUUCAUGAAAGGAAAUCUGAAAAGCUGAAGAGGCUAGAUCAAAAGGGUGCUGAGGCUCACAAGGUUGACAUGACAAGACAAUUGGUUAGAAGUCUCUCCACAAAAAUUAGAAUUGCGAUUCAGGUUGUCGAUAAGAUUUCUGAGAAGAUAAACAAGAUGAGGGAUGAAGAGUUAUGGCCGCAACUGAAUGUACUUAUUCAGGGGUUAAGUAAAAUGUGGAAAGGCAUGCUUGAGUGUCAUCGUAACCAAUGCCAGGCUAUUGGAGAAGCCAAAAGAUUAGAUGCCAUUGCAUCUCACAAACACUUGAGUGAUGCUCAUCUUGAAGCCACUCUGCAGCUUGAACAUGAGCUUUUGAACUGGACUUUGAGAUUCUCUUGCUGGGUGAAUGCACAGAAGGGCUAUGUGAGAGCACUAAACACUUGGCUCAUGAAAUGUCUUCUGUAUGUGCCCGAGGAAACAGCCGAUGGAAGAGUUCCCUUUUCUCCAGGCAGAAUUGGUGCUCCCCCAAUUUUUGUCAUCUGUAAUCAGUGGUCACAAACCAUUGAAGGAGUUUCUGAGAAAGAGGUUAUUGACUGUAUGCGAGAUUUUGCAUCAAAUGUCCUUCAACUCUGGGAGCGAGAUAAGCAUGAAAUGCGGCAAAGGAUGAUGGUGCACAAGGAUAUGGAGAGAAAAGUGAAGAACCUUGAGAGGGAGGAUCAGAAGAUACAAAAGGGGAUUCAUGCACUGGACAAAAGAAUAGUACUCAUUUCUGGGGAUGAAACUGGUCUCUCAUUAAAUAGGCAUGUCGUUUACCAGAGUGACACAAGCAAAAAUAGUAGCCUUCAGGUCGGUCUGAGACAUAUUUUUGAGGCCAUGGAAAGGUUUACUGCCAAAUCCUUGAAGGUGUAUGAGGAACUUCUACAACGCAUUGAAGAGGAUGAUCUAGCUUAAAGAGCAUGAGAAAUUGGUAUAGCCGCUACCUUGAGAAGGUUAUGUCUUCCAGACAGAGGACAAUGUGAAAUGGAGCAACGAAAACCUUGUUGUCUUUCUCUGCUCUUGCUGUAGCAUCAUCACAGCUGAUCAGUUUCAGUUCGGUAAGCGGGGUCAUGGAAGAGGUAAUUCCUGAUGAUGUGCCUUUUGUGGUUGUUGCAAUGGCAUCUUUUUGCCAAUGUCAGAACAGAUAUUCUUGAAUCUCCUGUGUUAGAAGUCUCCCCGGAUGUUGAAUAUUGCAGUAAUUGAUGCAUCAGCAAGUAUCCUGUUUUUCAGUGGUAAGGAUCCAUGCCAGACUGGCUGUGAACCUGAAACAAGAUGAUUAAAUACCCUAGGAUGGCCAUCAAUCCUCAAGUCACUAAUGUGCUUACAAAAGGGGACCUGAGCUAGUGGAGAUGUAUAAAUUCUAAAAUGCUAUGACUACUCUGGGGCUAAAUGCAAGUAUAUUUAUGGUUGGGGACAUUAUAUGACAUGCUAUGACUACCUUGGCGCUAAGUGGCAUGGUGGUUGUUUGCCCCAUUGACACCAUUGAGGCUUGAAGUGCACCCUACAUGUUGGCCAGCCAGUCCCUGUGGCAAGUUUGGUAGCCACCGACCGACUAAAUUGAGCCAGACGGAGAACUCUGUGCUCCUGGAGCUGCUAUUGGGUUUGGUAUUUUGAUGAUUGUUAGAGAUAUAUGUGCUACGGCAGGCCAUGUUCAUGUAUAGAUUGGCUGCACUCUUGUGAUAAUUGCAAAUAAGCGAAGUAGGGGUGGUAUCUCUAAACUGUAAGCAGCAGGGGCCAUCUAAGGAAAAAAAAGCAUGAAGAAUGGCUUAUUAUAGUUGGGCGUUUUUCAGUUGGAUUGAUGAGAAGAAGCUGUUUGGUAACACAAGUCAUUGAGACUGCUGGUUGUCUGGCACCAGACCUGCCUGAGAACAGAGAGAUAAUACUUGUAACUUGUAAGUAAGUUGUAUUCAGAUUGUUCUUUAAAUUCUGAUAAUAAUCUGUAUCUUAAAUUUUGUGUACAUAGGACUGGGUAGAUAUAUAUAUAUAUAUGUUUUUUAUACUAUAUAGAUAUAUAGUGCAU
rnacentral:misc_RNA from 1 species